UACGGGGGGGGCAAGCGUUGUUCGGAAUUACUGGGCGUAAAGGGCUCGUAGGCGGCCAACUAAGUCAGACGUGAAAUCCCUCGGCUUAACCGGGGAACUGCGUCUGAUACUGGAUGGCUUGAGGUUGGGAGAGGGAUGCGGAAUUCCAGGUGUAGCGGUGAAAUGCGUAGAUAUCUGGAGGAACACCGGUGGCGAAGGCGGCAUCCUGGACCAAUUCUGACGCUGAGGAGCGAAAGCCAGGGAGCAAACAGGG
rnacentral:rRNA from 1 species